ACCCGCUGAACUUAAGCAUAUCAAUAAGCGGAGGAAAAGAAACUAACAAGGAUUCCCCUAGUAGCGGCGAGUGAAGCGGGAAGAGCUCAAAUUUGUAAUCUGGCGUCCUUCGGGCGUCCGAGUUGUAAUCUAUAGAAGUGUUUUCCGUGCCGGACCAUGUCCAAGUCCCUUGGAACAGGGUAUCAAAGAGGGUGACAAUCCCGUACUUGACAUGACCACCGGUGCUCUGUGAUACACUUUCUACGAGUCGAGUUGUUUGGGAAUGCAGCUCAAAAUGGGUGGUAAAUUCCAUCUAAAGCUAAAUAUUGGCGAGAGACCGAUAGCGAACAAGUACCGUGAGGGAAAGAUGAAAAGCACUUUGGAAAGAGAGUUAAACAGUACGUGAAAUUGUUGAAAGGGAAACGAUUGAAGUCAGUCGUGUUCUUUGGACUCAGCCGGUUCUUCCGGUCUAUUUCCUUUGAACGGGUCAACAUCAGUUUUGUCCGGUGGAUAAAGGCAGGAAGAAAGUGGCUCCCUCGGGAGUGUUAUAGCUUUCUGUCACAUACACUGGAGGAGACUGAGGACUGCAGCUCGCCUUUUGGCCGGGGUUCGCCCACGUUCGAGC
rnacentral:rRNA from 1 species